CACUUCCAUUUAUUUUGAAUGUAUGAUUUGGCGUUGUUUUAAAACAACGCCAAAUCAUACAUUCAAAAUAAAUGGAAGUG
rfam:Octopus bimaculoides Scaffold27435_contig_126, whole genome shotgun sequence.